rnacentral:misc_RNA from 1 species
GAUGAAGAACGUAGCGAAAUGCGAUAAGUAAUGUGAAUUGCAGAAUUCAGUGAAUCAUCGAAUCUUUGAACGCACCUUGCGCCCCUUGGUUAUUCCAAAGGGCAUGCCUGUUUGAGUAUCAUGAACACCUCAACUCUUGUGGUUUCCCACAAUGAGCUUGGACUGUGGAGGUUUUGUUGGCCCUGUGGUCAGCUCCUCUCAAAUGGAUCAGCUUACCGGUGUUUGGUGGCAUUACGGGUGUGAUAACUAUCUACGCUCGUGGUCGUCUCCAAAUAACCUCCAGUGAUGGAGGUUCGCUGGAGCUUAUAAAUGUCUCUCCCCAGUGAAGACAGCCUUUGAACGUUCGAUCUCAAAUCAGGUAGGACUACCCGCUGAACUUAAGCAUAUCAAUAAGCGGGAGGA